UACGGAGGGUGCAAGCGUUGCUCGGAAUCAUUGGGCGUAAAGCGCACGUAGGCGGCCUGACAAGUCGGGUGUGAAAGCCCUGGGCUCAACCCAGGAAGUGCACUCGAAACUGCCAGGCUUGAAUAUGGAAGAGGGUCGCGGAAUUCCCGGUGUAGAGGUGAAAUUCGUAGAUAUCGGGAGGAACACCAGUGGCGAAGGCGGCGACCUGGGCCAAUAUUGACGCUGAGGUGCGAAAGCGUGGGGAGCAAACAGG
rnacentral:rRNA from 1 species